CACGAGACACGGUAGGGGCACAAACCCGGCAAUGCCCUGUCCGUUGAGGGGCUCCAGCGCAAGCUGGGGCCCCUCGGUUUUU
rnacentral:sRNA from 1 species